AGAUUAAAGAUUUAUCGGUGAUGGAUGGGGAUGCGUCUGAUUAGCUUGUUGGCGGGGUAACGGCCCACCAAAGCAACGAUCAGUAGGGGUUCUGAGAGGAAGGUCCCCCACAUUGGAACUGAGACACGGUCCAAACUCCUACGGGAGGCAGCAGUGAGGAAUAUUGGUCAAUGGACGAGAGUCUGAACCAGCCAAGUAGCGUGCAGGAUGACGGCCCUAUGGGUUGUAAACUGCUUUUAUAAGGGAAUAAAGUGAGUCUCGUGAGACUUUUUGCAUGUACCUUAUGAAUAAAGACCGGCUAAUUCCGUGCCAGCAGCCGCGGUAAUACGGAAGGUCCGGGCGUUAUCCGGAUUUAUUGGGUUUAAAGGGAGCGUAGGCCGGAGAUUAAGCGUGUUGUGAAAUGUAGAUGCUCAACAUCUGCACUGCAGCGCGAACUGGUUUCCUUGAGUACGCACAAAGUGGGCGGAAUUCGUGGUGUAGCGGUGAAAUGCUUAGAUAUCACGAAGAACUCCGAUUGCGAAGGCAGCUCACUGGAGCGCAACUGACGCUGAAGCUCGAAAGUGCGGGUAUCGAACAGGAUUAGAUACCCUGGUAGUCCGCACGGUAAACGAUGGAUGCCCGCUGUUGGUCUGAAUAGGUCAGCGGCCAAGCGAAAGCAUUAAGCAUCCCACCUGGGGAGUACGCCGGCAACGGUGAAACUCAAAGGAAUUGACGGGGGCCCGCACAAGCGGAGGAACAUGUGGUU
rnacentral:rRNA from 1 species